AAAAACUCAAUUCCUAAAUUUUCGUGUCUAAUAUUUGACCAUCCGUCUUAUUUAAAAAAAAUUUAAAAAAUUUAAAAAUAUAAGUCAUACAUAAAGUAUUAUUCAUGUUUUAUUAUCUAGCAAUAAUGAAAUUACUAAUUAUAAAAAAAUUUCAUAUAAGACGGACGGUUAAACGUUGGACACGGAAACCCAAGAAUUGAGUCUUU
rfam:Oryza sativa Japonica Group DNA, chromosome 11, cultivar: Nipponbare, complete sequence.